rnacentral:rRNA from 1 species
UACGUAGGGUCCGAGCGUUGUCCGGAAUUACUGGGCGUAAAGAGCUCGUAGGCGGCUUGUCGCGCGGCUGUGAAAUCCCGAGGCUCAACCUCGGGCUUGCAGUGGGUACGGGCAGACUAGAGUGCGGUAGGGGAGACUGGAAUUCCUGGUGUAGCGGUGGAAUGCGCAGAUAUCAGGAGGAACACCGAUGGCGAAGGCAGGUCUCUGGGCCGCAACUGACGC